GAGUUUGAUCCUGGCUCAGAUUGAACGCUGGCGGCAGGCUUAACACAUGCAAGUCGAGCGGAAACGAUGAUAGCUUGCUAUCAGGCGUCGAGCGGCGGACGGGUGAGUAAUACUUAGGAAUCUACCUAGUAGUGGGGGAUAGCACGGGGAAACUCGUAUUAAUACCGCAUACGACCUACGGGAGAAAGGGGGCAGUUUACUGCUCUCGCUAUUAGAUGAGCCUAAGUCGGAUUAGCUAGAUGGUGGGGUAAAGGCCUACCAUGGCGACGAUCUGUAGCUGGUCUGAGAGGAUGAUCAGCCACACCGGGACUGAGACACGGCCCGGACUCCUACGGGAGGCAGCAGUGGGGAAUAUUGGACAAUGGGGGAAACCCUGAUCCAGCCAUGCCGCGUGUGUGAAGAAGGCCUUUUGGUUGUAAAGCACUUUAAGCAGUGAAGAAGACUCCGUGGUUAAUACCCACGGACGAUGACAUUAGCUGCAGAAUAAGCACCGGCUAACUCUGUGCCAGCAGCCGCGGUAAUACAGAGGGUGCAAGCGUUAAUCGGAAUUACUGGGCGUAAAGGGAGCGUAGGUGGCUCUAUAAGUCAGAUGUGAAAUCCCCGGGCUCAACCUGGGAACUGCAUCUGAAACUGUAGAGCUAGAGUAUGUGAGAGGAAGGUAGAAUUCCAGGUGUAGCGGUGAAAUGCGUAGAGAUCUGGAGGAAUACCGAUGGCGAAGGCAGCCUUCUGGCAUAAUACUGACACUGAGGCUCGAAAGCGUGGGUAGCAAACAGGAUUAGAUACCCUGGUAGUCCACGCCGUAAACGAUGUCUACUAGUCGUUGGGUCCCUUGAGGACUUAGUGACGCAGCUAACGCAAUAAGUAGACCGCCUGGGGAGUACGGCCGCAAGGUUAAAACUCAAAUGAAUUGACGGGGGCCCGCACAAGCGGUGGAGCAUGUGGUUUAAUUCGAUGCAACGCGAAGAACCUUACCUGGUCUUGACAUAUCUAGAAUCCUGCAGAGAUGCGGGAGUGCCUUCGGGAAUUAGAAUACAGGUGCUGCAUGGCUGUCGUCAGCUCGUGUCGUGAGAUGUUGGGUUAAGUCCCGCAACGAGCGCAACCCUUGUCCUUAGUUACCAGCGGGUUAAGCCGGGAACUCUAAGGAUACUGCCAGUGACAAACUGGAGGAAGGCGGGGACGACGUCAAGUCAUCAUGGCCCUUACGACCAGGGCUACACACGUGCUACAAUGGUAGGUACAGAGGGCAGCUACACAGCGAUGUGAUGCGAAUCUCAAAAAGCCUAUCGUAGUCCAGAUUGGAGUCUGCAACUCGACUCCAUGAAGUAGGAAUCGCUAGUAAUCGCGGAUCAGAAUGCCGCGGUGAAUACGUUCCCGGGCCUUGUACACACCGCCCGUCACACCAUGGGAGUUGAUUGCACCAGAAGUGGAUAGCUUAACCUUCGGGGAGGCGUUCACCACGGUGUGGUUGAUGACUGGGGUGAAGUCGUAACAAGGUAGCCGUAGGGGAACCUGCGGCUGGAUCACCUCC
rnacentral:rRNA from 1 species